GCGGACGCGGUGGCCAGAGGGGGUGGAAGAGGGUGGGGGCACGGGUUGUCGGGAAAAACUGGGGGGAAAGGGGCGGUAGGCGGGUUGAGAAGUCAAUGGUGAAAUCCCGUUGCGCAACGGCCGGGCCGUAGGUGAGAAUGUCUGGCUGGAGCGUGGGAGGGGCGAGUGGAAUUCCCGGGGGAGCGGGGGAAUGCGUAGAGGUCGGGAAGAACACCGGUGGCGAAGGCGGCUCGCUGGGCCAAUGCUGACGCUGAUGCGCGAAAGCGUGGGGAGCAAACAGGAUUAGAUACCCUUGUAGUC
rnacentral:rRNA from 1 species